rnacentral:tRNA from 1 species
AGCAGCGUGGCUCAAUGGAAAGAGCCCGGGCUUGGGAGUCAGGGUCCGGGGUUCGAAUCCCGGCUCUGCCA